rnacentral:lncRNA from 1 species
UUGGGUUGUGGAAGAAAUCGUACUCGUCCACGUUUUACUUGUAUAAUCCAACUUUGAAGCACACGUGUAGGCACCAGAUUUAAUUUUCUCUUAUGUGUUCAACUUUGGCGUGUGACCUGAUCUGUGUCAUGCAAAACUCACUCAUAUACAAAACUCGUAGUUUCCUCGUAGAAGAGGAAGAAAACUAAAAAAUCCAAAAGAGAAAAUAAAAGAAAGCCCGUGGUUGCAGUGUAUGAGAUUGC